UGCAAGUUUUCAGAGGAAACGCAGCCAAAAUCUCGUUGGAAAACAAAAUCGAGAAAUUGUCCUACUUUGGUACUAGUCGAGGUGGGGAGGUGUUCGAGAGCUGCACUGUCACAGAGGGGAGUCGUUCCGAAGCGUCAGUUCCUUGUCGGUCUUUUAGAGUCUUG